rnacentral:rRNA from 1 species
GACAGAGGUGCCGAGCGUUAGGCGGAAUCACUGGGCUUAAAGCGCGUGUAGGUGGCGGCCUAAGUACCUUGUGAAAUCCUGCGGCUCAACCGCAGAACUGCUUGGUAUACUGGGUCGCUUGAGACAUUCAGGGGCAACUGGAACAAGCGGUGGAGCGGUGAGAUGCGUAGAUAUCGCUUGGAACGCCAAAGGUGAAAACAGGUUGCUGGGGAUGUUCUGACACUGAGACGCGAAAGCCAGGGGAGCGAACGGG